rnacentral:rRNA from 1 species
GACGAACGCUGGCGGCGUGCUUAACACAUGCAAGUCGAACGGAAAGGCCCUGCUUUUGUGGGGUGCUCGAGUGGCGAACGGGUGAGUAACACGUGAGUAACCUGCCCUUGACUUUGGGAUAACUUCAGGAAACUGGGGCUAAUACCGGAUAGGAGCUCCUGCUGCAUGGUGGGGGUUGGAAAGCUUCGGCGGUUGGGGAUGGACUCGCGGCUUAUCAGCUUGUUGGUGGGGUAGUGGCUUACCAAGGCUUUGACGGGUAGCCGGCCUGAGAGGGUGACCGGCCACAUUGGGACGGAGAUACGGCCCAGACUCCUACGGGAGGCAGCAGUGGGGAAUAUUGCACAAUGGGCGGAAGCCUGAUGCAGCAACGCCGCGUGCGGGAUGACGGCCGUCGGGUUGUAAACCGCUUUCGCCUGUGACGAAGCGUGAGUGACGGUAAUGGGUAAAAAAGCACCGGCUAACUACGUG